rnacentral:rRNA from 1 species
UUUAAAUGUAAAUUUUUGAACUAAAUUAGUAAUAGAUAUGAUCUUCAAAUUUAAAGAUUUUGGCGGUAUUUUAGUCUAUUCAGAGGAACCUGUUCUGUAAUUGAUAAUCCACGAUUAACUUUACUUAAUUUUAAAAAUUUGUAUAUCGUUGUUUAUAGAAAAUUUUAUAAGAAAAAUAAUUUUUAAUAAAUUUAAUUAAAUUGUAAAUCAAAUCAAGGUGCAGUUUAUAGUUAAGUUAGAAAUGGGUUACAAUAAAUUUAUUUAUUAAUGAAUAUAAAUUUUAAAAUUUUUAUUGAAGGUGGAUUUGAUAGUAAUAUUAUUAAAUUAAAUAAUGUGAUUUUAGCUCUAAAAUAUGU